GACGAACGCUGGCGGCGUGCCUAAUACAUGCAAGUCGACCUUAGUGGCGAACGGGUGAGUAACACGUGGGUAACCUGCCCAUCAGAAGGGGAUAACACUUGGAAACAGGUGCUAAUACCGUAUACUGAUGGAUGGACCCGCGGUGCAUUAGCUAGUUGGUGAGGUAACGGCUCACCAAGGCCACGAUGCAUAGCCGGCCUGGUGGGGGUGUCGGCCACAUUUGGAAUUAGACACGGCCCCAACCCCUACGGGAGGCAGCAGUAGGGAAUCUUCGGCCAUGGACGAAAGUCCGAACCGGUCACGCCGCGUUGGUUAAAAAGGUUUUCUGAUUGUAAAACUCUUUUUGUUGGGGAGCGGUAUCUAACCAGAAAGCCACGGCUAACUACGUGCCAGCAGCCGCGGUAAUAC
rnacentral:rRNA from 1 species